UUCCAUGCAACAGAUUUAUGGAAACUCAUCGGCAGCCUCAUGGGCAACACAGGUAUGCACCUGUCUAUCAAGACAAUAACUUUCUUCAGGAGAGGAACAAACCCUUAGAACAGUUGCAAUGGUGAAUUGGUCCGGCAACAGUCCACUCUGUAAUAAAUCAACAAGCCUCCUUAAAGAAUAUUCCUCUAAACCACUCAUAGCACAGUCAGUUCUAGCCGGUUAAAAUAGCAUAAACGUGAAGAGUCUCGGAAGCAGAUGGGGAAACAUAGAGGAGGCACAACUUGAAGAAGUGGAGUUGACAAUGGAUCUUUGAGCAGAUAACAAGGGUUGGCAAAUGAGGGAUUCAGAUCAUUAUUGGAUAUAAUUACGUGACAGAGGAAGCAGUAACAAUAAUAGAUGGUCGUCGGGUUCAUGGAUUAAUUCUUGAAGAAUUCCGUUGUAACCUUUUCAUGCAGGAAGUUAGUUUGCUGCCAGCGUUUGCCG